UUUUGAUAAAAUUCUUUUGUGCAUUACAUUUUGCCGUUUCCAAAUUCCAUACGCAUGUUCACCAAGUGUAUCAAUACCGCUCUUCACCACUAGAUGGAAACCAAGCCUGCACUUUUGCCAGAUUCAGCAAAACAGGAUUUUAAGUCAGUCAGAUAUUCUAGAAUUUUGACUUAGUUUGAAUAACGGAGACAGUAAAACAUAAAUAUGCUCUCAUGGCUUUUAAAUUUCCAUGUGGAAACAAAGCCAGUGGAAACAUGUCUGGCCGGUUAAAGACUGAGAGUGGUGGCCGUGGCAACAGAUGCUGCUGGGUGUUUUUUCUUCGACACCCACUGCACGUGGCUGAGGUUGGAGCGUUGGCAGGCCGGCUGCUCACCACAGUCAUCCUGGCACCGGACCUCACAAGGUACACACAUACAUACACACACACACACACACACACACAGAGACCCACACACACAGACACACAUGCUCAUGCAGACAUAAACGACAGACCCGUUGAGUCUUCGUCUCACACUUCUACUCACACCUUCACACAACAAAAUAUUCUGAACAUUGGCACAAACACACACAGGCUGAGGUGGCACAUACUCCUGCACCUUAAUGAGGUUCUUAUAAACCCAAGUGAACUCAUGUUCAUGCUCACACACACAGACAGACAUAAACACACACAUGCAUACCACCAUUUUCCAUUUACUCUAUGUAUUAAAAGGCAGAGUAGAUGCUUCAUUUCUGUUGGAGCAGCUUUGCCACACAGUCCCCGGCCCCAGACCCAGACCUGGGCACCGUUUCACUCUUUCCAAAUUCGCGGUGCCUUCUCUCGUUUACUUUCCACCCCAUAUAGCCUAACGUGACCCUAUCAUUUCAGUUCUCUCCCUCUUCUUCUUCUUCUUCUCGACGGCUCCACUCGUCCGCUGUCAAAUAGAACUAUACUUUGUUCCUAUAAUAUGAAACCCAUCUCUUUUUCUUCU
rnacentral:lncRNA from 1 species